rnacentral:rRNA from 1 species
CCUACGGGUGACAGCAGUAGGGAAUCUUUCACAAUGGGCGAAAGCCUGAUGGAGCAACGCCGCGUGCAGGAUGAAGGCCUUCGGGUUGUAAACUGCUUUUAUAAGCGAGAAAUAUGAUGGUAACUUAUGAAUAAGGAUCGGCUAACUACGUGCCAGCAGCCGCGGUCAUACGUAGGAUCCGAGCAUUAACCGGAGUGACUGGGUGUAAAGAGUUGCGUAGGUGGCAUAAUAAGUAGCUAGUGAAAUCUGGUGGCUCAACCAUUCAGACUAUUAGCUAAACUGUUAAGCUCGAGACCGUUAGGGGUAACUGGAAUUUCUAGUGUAGGAGUGAAAUCCGUAGAUAUUAGAAGGAACACCAAUAGCGUAGGCAGGUUGCUGGGACGGUUCUGACACUAAGGCACGAAAGCGUAGGGAGCAAACGGGAUUAGAUACCCCAGUAGUC